AUGGUGGGGACCGGGGGUGGAGGUGGGAGACGCAGGGCGUUUUUGGAUCGGGGGUCGAGGGGAGAAGCCGUGUGGACCAAGAGGGGGGUUUCGCCACGUGGUAGUUCGGGGGUUAAGGAAUCAUGUCCGAACAAUUUUGUUCGGCUCGAGGGAGUCCCACUCCGAACAGGGUCGUUCGGACCGGCGCCCUGUGGUACCGAACGUGCGCGCGUUAUCGGGUCCUGUUGUAGACGUUUCUUCUUUUUGCACAGCAGAAAAAUUCCUGUUUGUAGUAGAGGUCCAAGCAUUCUUAGGAAAAGAUUGAAAUCGUUCUCUUUCCACACUAUUCUAGAUGACUGUAAAACCAUUAUUACUUAA
rnacentral:rRNA from 1 species